AUAUCGCAUUGGUGUUGAUGUUGUUGAUUGUGUUUUGUAAUUUUAUAAUUAAAAAAAAUCGGGGGACCACAUAUUAAAUGGAUUUUUGGAACAGGGAGCUGGAUCAGGAGCUUGCUCCGUCCUCUCCACGCAUCGGCCCGGUAUUGCAGCGCCUCCAGGAACGGUGCACCACCU
ensembl:snRNA U2 U2 spliceosomal RNA